UGGGCGUAAGCGCGCGCAGGCGGUUUCUUAAGUCUGAUGUGAAAGCCCACGGCUCAACCGUGGAGGGUCAUUGGAAACUGGGGAACUUGAGUGCACAAGAGAAAAGCGGAAUUCCACGUGUAGCGGUGAAAUGCGUAGAGAUGUGGAGGAACACCAGUGGCGAAGGCGGCUUUUUGGUCUGUAACUGACGCUGAGGCGCGAAAGCGUGGGGAGCAAACAGGAUUAGAUACCCUGGUAGUCCACGCCGUAAACGAUGAGUGCUAAGUGUUAGAGGGUUUCCGCCCUUUAGUGCUGCAGCUAACGCAUUAAGCACUCCGCCUGGGGAGUACGGUCGCAAGACUGAAACUCAAAGGAAUUGACGGGGGCCCGCACAAGCGGUGGAGCAUGUGGUU
rnacentral:rRNA from 2 species